rnacentral:rRNA from 1 species
CGGUAAUUCCAGCUCCAAUAGCGUAUAUUUAAGUUGUUGCAGUUAAAAAGCUCGUAGUUGGACUUUGGGACGGGUCGGUCGGUCCGCCUCGCGGUGUGCACCGGUCGUCCCAUCCCUUCUGUCGGCGAUGCGUGCCUGGCCUUAACUGGCCGGGUCGUGCCUCCGGCGCUGUUACUUUGAAGAAAUUAGAGUGCUCAAAGCAAGCCCACGCUCUGGAUACAUUAGCAUGGGAUAACAUCACAGGAUUUCGGUCCUAUUGUGUUGGCCUUCGGGAUCGGAGUAAUGAUUAAGAGGGACAGUCGGGGGCAUUCGUAUUUCAUAGUCAGAGGUGAAAUUCUUGGAUUUAUGAAAGACGAACCACUGCGAAAGCAUUCGCCAAGGAUGUUUUCAUUAAUCAAGAACGAAAGUUGGGGGCUCGAAGACGAUCAGAUACCGUCCUAGUCUCAACCAUAAACGAUGCCGACCAGGGAUCGGCGGAUGUUGCUCUUAGGACUCCGCCGGCACCUUAUGAGAAAUCAAAGUCUUUGGGUUCCGGGGGGAGUAUGGUCGCAAGGCUGAAACUUAAAGGAAUUGACGGAAGGGCACCACCAGGAGUGGAGCCUGCGGCUUAAGUUGACUCAACACGGGGAAACUUACCAGGUCCAGACAUAGCAAGGAUUUGACAGACUGAGAGCUCUUUCUUGAUUCUAUGGG